UAGAGGUCAGGAAAGGCUUUUAAAAAGAAGACCAGAGGCGCCUUCGUCGUCAGUGUUACCAAGGGAGUCACUUGCUAAGGGCCCGAAGCCCAGUGUCAGUCUGCGAAGAGUUCGAGAGCCCACGAAGGAGAUUCAGCCUCAGCGAAAAUGAAAUCGAUGACUCUGAUACUCGUCACCUUCCUGACCAUUGGCAUCUUGACGGUCUCUGCGGAACCCCAAAGCUAUUUCACCGGAGUUAGACCCCACAGACCAAGACCCAGACCGGCCCGGAACGCCAACGAAGAUAAUGUGUUCCUCGUUAACAGCAGGAUCAGUAAGGACUUCGAUAAUGCACAAGAAGAUUUUCUGUAUAAACAAGUUGUGUAACAACACUUUAUAAAGUUGGAAUUCAGGGUUUUUUUCGAGAACGAAUUUACUCGCCUUUAAGGUCAAGGAAUUCACGUCGAAUGUUAACUAAGAUGAAGUUGUAUUGUUUGCGUAAGUAUAUCAUCAGAGUGGUUAAAUCUGAAAAUGUAAAAAGACAAUAAAGAAAUACCUUUGUAAUCCAAUAUCAUUGUUGUCAUAUUUUCCUCAGCUCAGGGAGCUAGCUAUAUGGGAUUAGUGAUGGUUUCUCUUAAAUUUAAGCUAAUUUUGUAUAGUUUUAUAAAAUAAUCCAGUUUGGAUGAUUUUGUAGUGCAUAUGUGAGCGACAGGUGAUGCGGUUUCUUGCUUUUUUAAAACUGACGCUGUCACCCAUCAAUAUAAAAAAAACUGUUUGAUAGUUAAGUAUGAACUAAUACAGAUGUUGGAGAAAGUUACUUCUCUGGAAAUAAAAGGUUAUAACUC